AUUGAAUAGGUUCUUUUUACUCAUAUAACCCUGAUAAUUGGUUUGGGGGUUUCUACGAGGCAACCGGAAUUGCUUCUCUAUGAGCCAGGUAAGGCUUAUA
rnacentral:ncRNA from 2 species